AUACGUAGGUGACAAGCGUUAUCCGGAUUUACUGGGCGUAAAGGGCGUGUAGGCGGUCUUGCAAGUCAGAAGUGAAAUUCCUGAGCUCAACUCGGGCGCUGCUUCUGAAACUGCAGGACUUGAGUGCUGGAGGGGAUAGCGGAAUUCCUAGUGGAGCGGUAAAAUGCGCAGAUAUUAGGAAGAACACCGGUGGCGAAGGCGGCUAUCUGGACAUUACCUGACGCUGAGGCGCGAAAGAGUGGGGAGCAAACAGGAUUAGAUACCCUGGUAGUCCACGCCGUAAACGAUGAGUACUAGGUGUAGGGGGUAUCGACUCCCUCUGUGCCGCAGUUAACACAAUAAGUAUUCCGCCUGGGGAGUACGGCCGCAAGGUUGAAACUUAAAGGAAUUGACGGGGG
rnacentral:rRNA from 1 species